GAAUACUAGUUUCUUUUUGGUUUUUAGAUCUUUUUAGAGUUUAGACUAUUACAAAGAGGUUUCUCAUUGUUGCUACCAACAGCUAAUGAGUAAAGCUUAAGUUUGUUUUGUUUACUAGUCACUUGGUAUCUAAGACUAGUGAAGAUUACAGAUUCUGAUUUGUGAAGUCACAAUUAUUAUAAACUUAUUACUAUCUGAUAGAAGCAUGUUAAAAUAUGUUUUAUCUUACUUUUUCUGCAGUUUCAAAGCCUCAUAAUGACUUAUUUAUUUAAAUUGUUCUUCCAGGUACAAAACCUUCUUCAACAGAUGGCAUCUAGAUCAGUGAAGAUUACAGAUUCUAUGCUAUAUCAACUGGGUUCAAUGAAUUUAGUAACAAGGACAAGAUAUUAAAUUAAAUCAAAACUCAUGGGGUUUGUCUUGAUGUUUUUCCUGUUAUUUUUUGGCGAAUGUUAAAACAUGAUUUUUUGUGGAUAUGUUAUUUUGUAGUUAAUGGUAAUUGUAUAUUAAAUUGAAUGGGAAAGUGAAUUAAUGCUGUAUUUGCUA